AUUGAACGCUGGCGGCAGGCUUAACACAUGCAAGUCGAGCGGAGAUGAGGUGCUUGCACCUUAUCUUAGCGGCGGACGGGUGAGCAAUGCUUAGGAAUCUGCCUAUUAGUGGGGGACAACAUUCCGAAAGGAAUGCUAAUACCGCAUACGUCCUACGGGAGAAAGCAGGGGAUCUUCGGACCUUGCGCUAAUAGAUGAGCCUAAGUCGGAUUAGCUAGUUGGUGGGGUAAAGGCCUACCAAGGCGGCGAUCUGUAGCGGGUCUGAGAGGAUGAUCCGCCACGCUGGGACUGAGACACGGCCCAGACUCCUACGGGAGGCAGCAGUGGGGAAUAUUGGACAAUGGGGGGAACCCUGAUCCAGCCAUGCCGCGUGUGUGAAGAAGGCCUUAUGGUUGUAAAGCACUUUAAGCGAGGAGGAGGCUACUGAGACUAAUACUCUUGGAUAGUGGACGUUACUCGCAGAAUAAGCACCGGCUAACUCUGUGCCAGCCGCCGCCGUAACAC
rnacentral:rRNA from 1 species